AUGGCUGUGAGAAUCCUCUCAUUGACAUCAAGUUCUUCAGUCUGUGAAAGGAAUUGGAGUACCUUCGAAAAUAUACAUACGAAGAAAAGAAAUAGGCUAACUACAAAACGUCUAAACUCUCUUGUGUUCAUACAAUUCAACUCGAGAAUGAUGGCCAAGAAAAAUAUGAUCAAGGAGAAGAAGAUCACUGAUGUCCUCUUAUCCGCUGAAACUACUGAAGCUCAAGGUUUUCUUUUUGAGGGCGGAGAUGAUUAUGCAGAAGUCAUCUAUAUGGAUAAAGAUGAGGAGGAGAUGAAUAGUACAGGGAUGCCAGGGAGUGGCAUUGGAGAAGCAAUGGGAGGCGAUGAACUGCUCGAGCCACGUAGAAGUGCGAGACCAAGACAACUUUAUGAAGAAGAAGAAUUUGAUUCUGAAGAAGAGGAAUUUGAUGAUGAGGAGGAGAUGCAUUCAGAUGAGGAGAAUGGCUAUUAA
rnacentral:rRNA from 1 species